rnacentral:rRNA from 1 species
UACGGAGGGUGCAAGCGUUAAUCGGAAUUACUGGGCGUAAAGCGUGCGCAGGCGGUUUGUUAAGUCUGCUGUGAAAUCCCCGAGCUCAACUUGGGAAUUGCAGUGGAUACUGGCAGGCUGGAGUAUGGUAGAGGAAGGUGGAAUUCCCGGUGUAGCAGUGAAAUGCGUAGAGAUCGGGAGGAACACCGGUGGCGAAGGCGGUUCUCUGGGCAUUACCUGACGCUGAGGAGCGAAAGUGUGGGGAGCGAACAGG